rnacentral:rRNA from 1 species
UACGUAGGUGGCAGGCGUUAUCCGGAAUUAUUGGGCGUAAAGCGCGCGCAGGCGGUUUCUUAAGUCUGAUGUGAAAGCCCACGGCUCAACCGUGGAGGGUCAUUGGAAACUGGGGAACUUGAGUGCAGAAGAGAAAAGCGGAAUUCCACGUGUAGCGGUGAAAUGCGUAGAGAUGUGGAGGAACACCAGUGGCGAAGGCGGCUUUUUGGUCUGUAACUGACGCUGAGGCGCGAAAGCGUGGGGAGCAAACAGG